UUUGCCUAAUUUUACAGGAAAAGGGUUUAAGCAAAGGAGAUAAUGGCUGACGAAAGUCAGACUGCACCUGAACUUAAACUUCACUACCCAACUUAAAAAAGAGGAAUGCAUAUUUUGCUGUGCCAGCUGUGAUGGUGUCAUCUUAUACAGGUCAUUUUGGGCGGUAGUCUGUAUUCCACAAUCAGUUGGUUGCCAUCAACCAGCAACCCAUUCAGUUUCCUGAAGAGAAUGGCUGCAUCUUCUUCCUCAGCCAGCCCUACCGUCACUUUCUUCGAACCGUUCUCACGGUGCGGUACUAAAUUAUCCAAUAUCACCUCCGUAGGCCCACAUUUUGCCAUUAUCAGAUUUUUCACGUCGGAGUACCGCGUCUGAGGACAAUAAACGGAGCUUUUAAAAUCGACGCUCUAAUUUUUUA